GGUCAGUGUACCAAGAGGGGAGGUGUUGACAAGGUAUGUAAUGGUUGGACUAUCAGUCCAUAUGGUACUGCCUGGACAGUGUACCAGGAGGAAGAUGUGACAAGGUAUUGGUCAGACCAUUAGUCAACAUGCUUACAACCUUGAAAGUGUUACAGGAUGGAGGUUGGUAGUCGGACCAUCAGACAUAGAACCAGGGCCUGGAUGGACUUGAAGCACUUGAUGAGUAACAUGUACUGUAAUGUUUUUCACCAGGUAUUCCAAGUUGUUGGUGUAACCCAUAAUCACCAGGUGGUAGAUACUGUCCUUUCUCAACCAAUCAAGACAAAACUCCUGAGGAUCACUACCGUCACGUGCCACUUCUGGUGUGCACUGAGAUUGGAAGUGUAUGGUUAUGACGCGGACUAAUUGUGUUCUGUCCAUUAAUCUACAAGACACUGUUGAAGGACAAGAAUUACAGAUGAAGCGCACAAAAUAAAAAGAUGCACAGUUCAUGGGAUAGGGAUUAUGUAUUAGAGGCAAUUCACAGUACACACUAGGAAUAGGGGCUGAGAAAGAGGAUGCACAGUUCGCUAGAAACAGAUCAUGUUGUAGAAAAUAAUUAAAAGUUCUUUUAAUAGUGCUCAUGUUAUAAAAGAGAAUUCACAUUUCGCUCAAAACAGAUCAUGUUGUAUAAAGAGAAUUAAAAGUUCGCUUAAAAGCGCUCAUGAUAUAAAAGAGAAUUCACAUUUCACUAGAAACAGAUCUUGUUGUAUAAAGAGAAUUAAAAGUUCGCUUAAAAGUGCUCAUGUUAUAAAAAAGAAUUCACAUAUUGCAAAAGCUCUAAACUCAACACUAAAAUGAAUUGUGAAACGUUUAACUUCUUCAUUUUCGUCCUUAUCGGACCUUGGUAAUAAUUCCGCAUCAAAAUAAGGUGAUGGGUGCAUGUUGUAAAAAUCGAAGUCAUGUUAGGAUUGUAAUAAUAAACAUUACCAACUGAUGC